rnacentral:tRNA from 1 species
GUCGUCGACGGUGGGGUUGACGCCGGCCCCCGCAAUGGGCUGGUGGCUGUCAUUGGGCUUGAUGACGUCGCGAUCCCCCCGCGACGGCACCU